AUUGAACGCUGGCGGCAUGCUUUACACAUGCAAGUCGAACGGUAACAGGCCGCAAGGUGCUGACGAGUGGCGAACGGGUGAGUAAUGCAUCGGAACGUGCCCCGUCGUGGGGGAUAACUACUCGCAAGAGUAGCUCAUACCGCAUACGAUCUAUGGAUGAAAGCGGGGGACCGUAAGGCCUCGCGCGAUUGGAGCGGCCGAUGUUAGAUUAGCUAGUUGGUGGGGUAAAGGCUCACCAAGCCAACGAUCUGUAGCUGGUCUGAGAGGACGACCAGCCACACUGGGACUGAGACACGGCCCAGACUCCUACGGGAGGCAGCAGUGGGGAAUUUUGGACAAUGGGCGCAAGCCUGAUCCAGCAAUGCCGCGUGCAGGAAGAAGGCCUUCGGGUUGUAAACUGCUUUUGUACGGAACGAAACGGCUCUGGUUAAUACCCGGGGCUAAUGACGGUACCGUAAGAAUAAGCACCGGCUAACUACGUG
rnacentral:rRNA from 1 species